UGGGGAAUAUUGGACAAUGGGCGAAAGCCUGAUCCAGCCAUACCGCGUGUGUGAAGAAGGUCUUAGGAUUGUAAAGCACUUUAAGUUGGGAGGAAGGGGUGUUGCUUAAUACGUAGCACCUUUGACGUUACCGACAGAAUAAGCACCGGCUAACUCUGUGCCAGCAGCCGCGGUAAUACAGAGGGUGCAAGCGUUAAUCGGAAUUACUGGGCGUAAAGCGCGCGUAGGUGGUUCAGUAAGAUGGGUGUGAAAUCCCCGGGCUCAACCUGGGAACUGCUUUCAUAACUGCUGAACUAGAGUACGGUAGAGGGUAGUGGAAUUUCCUGUGUAGCGGUGAAAUGCGUAGAUAUAGGAAGGAACACCAGUGGCGAAGGCGACUACCUGGACUGAUACUGACACUGAGGUGCGAAAGCGUGGGGAGCAAACAGG
rnacentral:rRNA from 1 species